rnacentral:lncRNA from 1 species
AGAUUCACCGAUACAAAAUUUGAAUGAAUCACGCACCAAGUAAGAUCUAAGCAUGGCUUCUGCUAAAGUUAUGGCAGCCAGGAGGCUGAAUGCACCUGAGGCAAUGCAUGUCACCGAACGUCCCAUAACAAACUGAGGGCUGCUGGUAUGAGCCAUCAUACAAUAUUCCAUUAGGUUUUUUUUGAGUUUCUCAAGUGCUAUGGUGUCUGUUUCGCUUAAGCUUUCUUUCUGGGCUAUUUCAUGUUUUUUCUUGUACUUCUUCUCUAGAUAAUGCUUUGUAGUUGGAACAGGUAAAGCGGAAAAACUGAGGAUCAAAAGCAUCACAAGCAUGAUAAACAUGAUAAAAGCGUGUUCUUUCCAGAAAAUGUAAAUGACUCCAGUUCCUAAUUGAAUGCCAACAUUGACGACAACGGUAAUAACAAGUAUUCCCAGAGCUAUAAUGUUUGAGAAAAGUUCUGUAUUCUCCAUGAUACCAAGAGAAGGCAUGGAAUUACCCAUUAUUGUGCAGAUAAAAACAGAGCUGCUUAGUUUUGCCAGUUGAUCCUGGCAGCGAGGCAUGGAGGUAU